rnacentral:rRNA from 1 species
GUCCUAAGGAAGCGAAAUUCCUUGUCGGGUAAGUUUCGACCCGCACGAAAGGCGUAAUGAUUUGGGCACUGUCUCAACGAGAGACUCGGUGAAAUUUUAGUACCUGUGAAGAUGCAGGUUACCCGCGACAGGACGGAAAGACCCCAUGGAGCUUUACUGCAGUUUGAUAUUGAGUGUCUGUACCACAUGUACAGGAUAGGUAGGAGUCUAUGAGAUCGGGACGCCAGUUUCGAAGGAGACGUUGUUGGGAUACUACCCUUGUGUUAUGGCCACUCUAACCC